GCUAGUGAGUUUCAAUUUUUGUGCAUCGAUUUGCAGAAAAAUUAAUUUUUAUAAGAAACGAAUAUUUACAACCACAAGGCAAUUGACUUUGAAGAUAACUACAUUCUUUUAUAAGAAAACUAAGUUUAAAUUAUAACUUGUAAAGAUAUAUAAAUUGUGGAAAUCGCAUAUCUGCGAAGGAAAUAGUGAAAACUUGUAAUCAUAUACAUCUUGUUUGCGUCUUCAUUCGUUACAAAUUUUACGUUAUCGGCAACCGUGAGUGUGUGCGUGUGAG